rnacentral:rRNA from 1 species
ACCUUUCACUGACACUUGACUCGUGGAUUGAUGAAGAACGCAGCUAAUUGCGCGUUAACUUGUGAAAUGCAAGACACAUAAACAUCGAAAUUUCGAAUAAAUUAACGAUAUUUGCUGCAUCAGCAGAAUCUUUUUUAUCUUUUUUUCU